rnacentral:rRNA from 1 species
UACGGAGGGUGCAAGCGUUAUCCGGAAUCAUUGGGUUUAAAGGGUCCGUAGGCGGACUAAUAAGUCAGGGGUGAAAUCCCACAGCUUAACUGUGGAACUGCCUUUGAUACUGUUAGUCUUGAGUUAUAUGGAAGUAGAUAGAAUGUGUAGUGUAGCGGUGAAAUGCUUAGAGAUUACACAGAAUACCGAUUGCGAAGGCAGUCUACUACAUAUAUACUGACGCUAAUGGACGAAAGCGUGGGGAGCGAACAGGAUUAGAAACCCUAGUAGUCC